GUGGGGAAUAUUGGACAAUGGGGGGAACCCUGAUCCAGCCAUGCCGCGUGUGUGAAGAAGGCCUUUUGGUUGUAAAGCACUUUAAGCGAGGAGGAGGCUACCGAGAUUAAUACUCUUGGAUAGUGGACGUUACUCGCAGAAUAAGCACCGGCUAACUCUGUGCCAGCAGCCGCGGUAAUACAGAGGGUGCAAGCGUUAAUCGGAUUUACUGGGCGUAAAGCGCGCGUAGGUGGCCAAUUAAGUCAAAUGUGAAAUCCCCGAGCUUAACUUGGGAAUUGCAUUCGAUACUGGUUGGCUAGAGUAUGGGAGAGGAUGGUAGAAUUCCAGGUGUAGCGGUGAAAUGCGUAGAGAUCUGGAGGAAUACCGAUGGCGAAGGCAGCCAUCUGACCUAAUACUGACACUGAGGUGCGAAAGCAUGGGGAGCAAACAGGAUUAGAAACCCCAGUAGUCC
rnacentral:rRNA from 1 species